GGGGCGGAGAUGAAGGCUCGGCUCGGGCUGGUCGCUGGACCCAGUAGCAGAACCUGCAAGCCAGGUGGACGAACAGAGCUCUUGGCUCUAAGGUAGCUCCGUCUGCUUCUCCGAGUGAGCGAGGCUGCCUGGGGGGUCCCGCGGUCUCCCGGCCGUCGCCUUCCCACUGCUGGAGACAGCGCAACGGCGGGCGCACCCUGCAUUCAGGUGGCAGUAUCGAAGCCAAAAGCUUCCAGAAGUGGUUUCUGAACAAUAAGACUUGAAUGUACAUGAGUAAGCAAACACAGGAAUCCGGAAAAUCCACAGGAAUUGAAACUGAAGUUCAUGUACAUGUGAAUACAUAACUUCUUCCCGGUGUCAUCCUAAAGACACUCUCAAAAUCAUCAGAGUUCUUCAAAGGCUUGCAGAAAAAUGGAAGCUGCCGGCCUUUUUAAAAUUGAAUAAAUAAAGCACAGUUGAAAAUGUAUUAUUCAUGCUAUAGAAAUGUGUACAACAUUGCUGUGACAGGAGCAACAGCAUUGAGCAUGCCAAGAUCUAGUAAGCAAUUUGAAGUCUCAAGAGGAAGGCUUAGCCUGGAAGAAGGACCAUGGAGAUGAUGCUCUGUGAAUUCAAUCCAGCAGAUUCACUCUCUGGCAAUGAACAGGAAUGAAACGCAGAUAAGUCGUUAGAAAACUUUUCGAGGCAAAGCGCCUUGUGUGACCAGAACAAAGCCGUUUUAUAAUCAGAUUUACCAAGCUGAGAGCGAGUUUCGGGCAAACGGAAGCUGCAGUGUUCUGUCACCAGGAAACACUGCAUUUUCUAGAAUCGGAGCCUGGUUUACUUCUGUUCUUCCUACAUCAUUGUCCCAAAACUUUUAUGAAGGACUUUCCAGUUUCAAUAGAAUUUGAACAUUUUAUGUGUUUCAACAUCUCACUCCGUCAUUAGUUCCCUGAAAGCUCGGCCUAGAAUUUACUGGACUGUCCACUACUGCUGAUCAUCCCUUCUGAAAGCAGAAGAGCAACUGUGUUGGAAUGAGAAGGAGCUUAGUUGAGGAGCUCAAGCAUGACUUUCCAUGGUGAGAGGAAGAAGAGAAUGGAACUUGCUUCGAAGAAAAACAAGUUUUAUAAUAUGGGUUAUUUGGCUACUCUUUUGGUAAAUAAAUUUACACUUAUGAAUAUUUUUAGAAAGUAGAAAUUGAAGCUAAAAUUCUCACUAGAGGAAUAGUUUUAAAGGGGUAUUUAUUAAUUGUUAUAUAAACUAGAGAUUUUUAGUAAGAAAUCAUGUAUUUUACAUUAAUAUGCUUAAAAAUGGAAAAGGAGUAAAAGUGAUUUAAAGAUAAAUGUCUAUGUAAUUAACUAAUUGCCAAUGAUGGUAAUAUAAUGUGUUUUUGUCAUCUUGUGCUAAAUUUAAUAAAAAUGAAGCUAAUGACUUAGAAUUU